rnacentral:rRNA from 1 species
AGAGUUUGAUCCUGGCUCAGGAUGAACGCUAGCUACAGGCUUAACACAUGCAAGUCGAGGGGCAGCAUGACCUAGCAAUAGGUUGAUGGCGACCGGCGCACGGGUGAGUAACACGUAUCCAACCUACCGGUUAUUCCGGGAUAGCCUUUCGAAAGAAAGAUUAAUACCGGAUAGUAUAACGAGAAGGCAUCUUCUUGUUAUUAAAGAAUUUCGAUAACCGAUGGGGAUGCGUUCCAUUAGUUUGUUGGCGGGGUAACGGCCCACCAAGACAUCGAUGGAUAGGGGUUCUGAGAGGAAGGUCCCCCACAUUGGAACUGAGACACGGUCCAAACUCCUACGGGAGGCAGCAGUGAGGAAUAUUGGUCAAUGGACGAGAGUCUGAACCAGCCAAGUAGCGUGAAGGAUGACUGCCCUAUGGGUUGUAAACUUCUUUUAUAUGGGAAUAAAGUGAGCCACGUGUGGCUUUUUGUAUGUACCAUACGAAUAAGGAUCGGCUAACUCCGUGCCAGCAGCCGCGGUAAUACGGAGGAUCCGAGCGUUAUCCGGAUUUAUUGGGUUUAAAGGGAGCGUAGGCGGACUAUUAAGUCAGCUGUGAAAGUUUGCGGCUUAACCGUAAAAUUGCAGUUGAUACUGGUCGUCUUGAGUGCAGUAGAGGUAGGCGGAAUUCGUGGUGUAGCGGUGAAAUGCUUAGAUAUCACGAAGAACUCCGAUUGCGAAGGCAGCUUACUGGACUGUAACUGACGCUGAUGCUCGAAAGUGUGGGUAUCAAACAGGAUUAGAUACCCUGGUAGUCCACACAGUAAACGAUGAAUACUCGCUGUUUGCGAUAUACAGCAAGCGGCCAAGCGAAAGCAUUAAGUAUUCCACCUGGGGAGUACGCCGGCAACGGUGAAACUCAAAGGAAUUGACGGGGGCCCGCACAAGCGGAGGAACAUGUGGUUUAAUUCGAUGAUACGCGAGGA